rnacentral:lncRNA from 1 species
GAAUACUCACAUCUUCAUCAGCUGGAUUAUUGCACAGUCUGUCACUGCUGUUGCUGGCCUGACUUCCUAUCCUUUUGACAUGGUUCGCCAUCGUAUGAUGAUGCAGUCUGGACGCAAAGGAACUGAUAUCAUGUAUACAGGAACGCUUGACUGCUGGCAGAAGAUCGCUUGAGAUGAAGGAAGCACGGCUUUUUUCAAGGGUGCAUGGUCCAACGUUCUCAGAGGCAUGGGUGGUGCCUUUGUACUUGUCUUGUAUGUUGAGAUCAAGAAGUACACAUAAUUAUGUCCUAGGUGUUCUCCCCGAGAACAGGCAUGUUGUAUAAUAGACCAUAUUCUUGAACAUUCUGGACAGAUUCUCUGGGCUUGUCUGUUUUAUCAAUGGCAACUAUUUACCAGUUGAAAAAUGAGAAGCAAUAAUAUUCAUCUGACCAGAAUAUUAAUAUUUAAUAUUCUCUUAAAGCCAUUUCCAUAAAGACAAUAAUGAUGGGACUCAAUUAUAUUUUUUAUUUCAGUCACUCCUGAUAAUAAAAAAUUGAAGAAAUAAAAAUAUCCAAAACCAAA